rnacentral:rRNA from 1 species
UUUUAUUUGAGAGUUUGAUCCUGGCUCAGGAUGAACGCUGGCGGCGUGCCUAACACAUGCAAGUUGAGCGAUUUACUUCGGUAAAGAGCGGCGGACGGGUGAGUAACGCGUGGGUAACCUACCCUGUACACACGGAUAACAUACCGAAAGGUAUGCUAAUACGGGAUAAUAUAUUUGAGAGGCAUCUCUUGAAUAUCAAAGGUGAGCCAGUACAGGAUGGACCCGCGUCUGAUUAGCUAGUUGGUAAGGUAACGGCUUACCAAGGCGACGAUCAGUAGCCGACCUGAGAGGGUGAUCGGCCACAUUGGAACUGAGCCACGGUCCAAACUCCUACGGGAGGCAGC